GCUGGCAGCUUCUGGGACAUUACACCCUGGUGCUGAAGAGAUCGCUGCCGGAAGAGGCUGUCUUCCUGGGCAUGUUGUCAGCCGGGGGCGGGCCGACCCAGCACGCAGGAGGCUUGCACCGCAAAGCCUUCUCGCUGAACCAGGCAGCAGAUCCAUCCCACGGGGCUUCCUCCCACGUGAGAAACGUAGGAAAAGACGCUGCAAAUCAAAGACGACCACCCUGGAGAAGCAGGAGAAACUCCCCAACUUGAGUGAAUGUAUCAACAUUUCAGAAAAUGUAGGAGAUAGGACAAGUAAACCCAUUUAGCAGAUGAAGAAACUGAGCGAUGAGAAGAGCCCAACUACAAGAAUGAGGAGCGCCUAACACCCACCCAGUCUAGGAUGUUAUUAAUCCCAAAAGAACUUCAUUCUAUUUGGAGCUCGUGGGGGUGGAGAGAUGGAAGCAGGAAGAACCUAAAUUGUGUCUACCACUGGAAUUCAGAUUUGUCUUGACUUGAUAAGGUAGGCUCACCAGAAGGCUUUAUGUUUUCUGCUAGUUUGUUUUGUAGGUUU
rnacentral:lncRNA from 1 species